rnacentral:misc_RNA from 1 species
GAAAUGCGAUAAGUAAUGUGAAUUGCAGAAUUCAGUGAAUCAUCGAAUCUUUGAACGCACCUUGCGCUCCUUGGUAUUCCGAGGAGCAUGCCUGUUUGAGUGUCAUUAAAUUCUCAACCUCACCAGUUUUCUGAACUGUUCUCCGAGGCUUGGAUGUGGGGGUUUGUGCAGGCUGCCUCAGCGCGGUCUGCUCCCCUGAAAUGCAUUAGCGAGUUCGAUACUGAGCUCCGUCUAUUGGUGUGAUAAUUAUCUACGCCGUGGAUCGGGGCUUAGACUCGCUUCUAACCGUCCGCAAGGACAAUACCUUGACAAUUUGACCUCAAAUCAGGUAGGACUACCCGCUGAACUUAA